rnacentral:rRNA from 1 species
GACGAACGCUGGCGGCGUGCCUAAAACAUGCAAGUCGAACGAGGGAGCAAUCUCUAGUGGCGAACGGCGGAGUAAGACGUGAGCAACGUGCCCCAAAGUCCGGGACAAACGCAGAAAUGCCAUAAAUACCGGAUGUGGUCCAACCUCGGCAUCGAGGAUGGAUUAAACGGAUUUUCGCUUUGGGAGCGGCUCACGGCCUAUCAGGUAGUUGGUGGGGUAACGGCCUACCAAGCCGACGACAGGUAACGGGUCUGAGAGGAUGAUCCGUCCGAGUGGGACUGAGACACGGCCCACACACCUACGGGCGGCAGCAGUUGGGAAUCUUGCACAAUGGGGGAAACCCUGAUGCAGCGACGCCGCGUGGAGGAUGAAGGGUCUAGGCCUGUAACUCCUUUUACAGGAAGACUAGGACCCGGUACUGGGGAAUAAGGACCGGCUAACUACGUGCCAG